AUUGAACGCUGGCGGCAGGCCUAACACAUGCAAGUCGAGCGGAUGAAGGGAGCUUGCUCCUGGAUUCAGCGGCGGACGGGUGUGUAAUGCCUAGGAAUCUGCCUGGUAGUGGGGGAUAACGUCCGGAAACGGGCGCUAAUACCGCAUACGUCCUGAGGGAGAAAGUGGGGGAUCUUCGGACCUCACGCUAUCAGAUGAGCCUAGGUCGGAUUAGCUAGUUGGUGGGGUAAAGGCCUACCAAGGCGACGAUCCGUAACUGGUAUGAGAGGAUGAUCAGUCACACUGGAACUGAGACACGGUCCAGACGCCUACGGGAGGCAGCAGUGGGGAAUAUUGGACAAUGGGCGAAAGCAUGAUCCAGCAAUGCCGCGUGUGUGAAGAAGGUCUUCGGAUUGUAAAGCACUUUAAGUUGGGAGGAAGGGAAGUAAGUUAAUACCUUGCUGUUUUGACGUUACCAACAGAAUAAGCACCGGCUAACUUCGUG
rnacentral:rRNA from 1 species